AUGCAGCAGGGGCAGCCCUGGGCAGGCGUUGGAGAGAGGAUGGUGGAAGGGGGCUUGCUGCCUGCCUGGUGUGUGAGCAUCCACCUCGAGCAGGCUCAGAUGAAGCUCUGCCACCAGCCCUGCAGAGGGGCAGCGCCUCGGCCAGGCCUGGAGCCCGAGUCCCCCCCAGCCCACCCCGGCUGCACACUCGCGUUGCCUGGUGCCUGUUGCCACGCUACCGGCGAUCCCAGUGCCCAGGCGUCCCAGCGCUGUGCGUCACACUGGUGCUGCGCCGAGGAAAAGUGCCUGGAUUUGGAGCAAACGGGCUGGUUUGAACAGCCCAGAGGGAGCCAGAGCGAGAAGCGCAGGUGGAAAUUCACUCCUGGUGCUUCCCAGACCCGGGGAGCAGGAGGGGAGGAGCGGAGCGCUGUGUCAGGGAUGUGCUUAACUGUGGAUAUGACCUUGCUGUGGUUCAUCUUUUCCUUUGAGCUCCCCAAUAAAUCAGACACUUAUCUCUGCUUAUUGCUUAUUUAUGACUUCAUUUUGCCAGCAGUGCCAGGGAUGUGCAGGGUCGGGGGGGCUCUGCUGCCCCUUGCAGUUGCGCGUAGCUCAGCUGCUGAGCGUGCACGUGCAUCUGCGCGUCUCCGCACCACCCUGACUAAUCGCAAGAGCAGUAAACGAUAACAGAAAGGCCCUGCUGGGGACCUGCGGGCUCAGGCAGCAAAUGUUACUCAGCCAUCUGCUCAAACCAGUUGAACUCCUGUCCUUUCGUGCGUUUUGAGCAGACUUCACACCCUGGCGGGCAGCUGGUGCUGACAGCACACGCCCCGCGGUCCCCGGGGCUGCACAGUGGCUGCAGACCCACUCCUGAGGGUCUUUGCCCUCUGUGAUCCAUGCGAUGGGCUGUGUCCUUGGCAUGGCUCCAUCCGGCUCCUCCAGCCCCCUGGAUGUGAGCCGCCCCAUCCUGCAGUCAGCAGAGAGCAGUGAGGUGCUGCGGCUGUGUUGGGAUGCUCAUGGAGGCUGUGGGCGCUCCCGCAGCAUGCGGCUCCAUCCACAUCCCACAGCAGCACCGCGUGCCGCCACCACCACACGCAGCCCAUGGUACGUGAAUUCAACACCACUGAACCUCCUGGGACCAGGGAGCCUGAACCCUGGCCAGGCAGGGCCCUGGCCCAGGCAAGCAAUUAAACUGGGAUGCUGUAGAAGUCACAGAAUGGUUCCUUUUUGUCCAGGGCUCUAAAUAGGCAUGUGCCCCCCUAAUGCCCCAGUACCUCUUGGUGGAGUCAGGGCUGAAUGCUGUGUGUAUGAGCAGCACUUUGCUCCCCUGGCAGCCGAGAUGUGUGCCGCUGGCGUGGCUGUGUGAGAAGUGACAACCUCGGCAAGCUCAGGCUCUGGUUUUAACUUUAAGAGUGCAGUUUGUCCAGACAGGAAUGAAUUCCAGCAGUCCUCUGCCUGCCUCGUGUGGGAGAGCAGACUAGAUGAUUGCAGUGGUACUUUCUGGCUUUAAAAUCUAUGACUUUCUCAGUUCCCUUUAUGCUGGAUGUAAAGCUGAUGAAGCACUGCGGGAUGCACAGACCUGUGGAUAACUGCUGGGUGGAAGCAGAUGGAGGCAGGCUCUGUGCCGCUGUCUGCAUUGCUGUAGCUCAGGGUAGGAAUACACAUGUCCUCGUAUUGAUUUUCUGUC
ensembl:lncRNA